UACGUAGGGGGCUAGCGUUGUCCGGAAUCAUUGGGCGUAAAGAGCGCGUAGGCGGCCAGAUAAGUCCGGUGUGAAAGUCACAGGCUCAACCUGGUGAAUGCCGCUGGAAACUGUCUGGCUAGAGUCCGGGAGGGGCGAGUGGAAUUCCUGGUGUAGCGGUGAAAUGCGCAGAGAUCCGGAAGAACACCGGUGGCGAAGGCGGCCUGCUGGGCAGUUGCUGACACUGAGGCGCGACAGCGUGGGGAGCAAACAGG
rnacentral:rRNA from 1 species